rnacentral:rRNA from 1 species
ACACUCAUCACCCUGUGACAUACCUAUAACGUUGCCUCGGCGGGAACAGACGGCCCCGUAACACGGGCCGCCCCCGCCAGAGGACCCCCUAACUCUGUUUCUAUAAUGUUUCUUCUGAGUAAACAAGCAAAUAAAUUAAAACUUUCAACAACGGAUCUCUUGGCUCUGGCAUCGAUGAAGAACGCAGCGAAAUGCGAUAAGUAAUGUGAAUUGCAGAAUUCAGUGAAUCAUCGAAUCUUUGAACGCACAUUGCGCCCGCCAGUAUUCUGGCGGGCAUGCCUGUUCGAGCGUCAUUACAACCCUCAGGCCCCCGGGCCUGGCGUUGGGGAUCGGCGGAAGCCCCCUGCGGGCACAACGCCGUCCCCCAAAUACAGUGGCGGUCCCGCCGCAGCUUCCAUUGCGUAGUAGCUAACACCUCGCAACUGGAGAGCGGCGCGGCCACGCCGUAAAACACACAACUUCUGAAUGUUGACCUCGAAUCAGGUAGGAAUACCCGCUGAACUUAAGCAUAUCAAUAAGCGGAGGA